UAAAUAUAAAGCAAAAUAUUGCACUUAGUUUCGACCUAAAAUUUUUAAUCUUUAAGAUUUAUAUUU
rnacentral:tRNA from 1 species